GGCGAACGGGUUAGCAAUACAGUCGGAACGUGUCCUGUAGCGGGGUGUACAACCUUCAAGAAAUCGAUGGCUAAUAUCCGUCAUACGAUCUUCGGCAUGAAUAGUGGCGGGACCGCUAAGGCCCACACUAUAGGAUGCGGCGAUGUCCGGAUUAAGCUAUGUUGGUGGGGUAAUGGCCUACCAAGGCGACGCAUCCCGUAGCUGGUUUUGAUGAGAACGGUACCAGCCAGACUUGGGACUGAGACAGGUCCAACACUCAAAGGGAGGCAGCGUGGGAAUUGGACAUGGGCGAAGCCUGAUCCAGCCAUGCCGCGUGAGUGAAGAAGGCCUUCGGGUUGUAAAGCUCUUUCGGCGGGGACGAAAUUGCGCGGGGUAACAUCCCGCGUAGAUGACGGUACCCGAAGAAGAAGGACCGGCUAAACUACGUGCCAGCAGCCGCGG
rnacentral:rRNA from 1 species